AAAAGGUUUCAGUUUGCUGCUCGGCUUGUUCUUGACUCUCAAAUUUCUGUAAAUGUUUUUCUUUACAUUGAAAUUUGCGUGUGAAUGUGUGAUACUUUCCCAGUUGAUAUGGGUGAGCUUUAGAGAAUCUAAUGAAACAAAGCUGUUUUAAGUACUACCUCAUGUUUUCUGGUUUAAUCUGCAGAAGGGGUGCUUACUGGUUGAACAGAUCAAAGUCAACGGAUGUGAUGACCAAACUUUGGUGUUACACCAUUUAGUUUGUUUGGGUUCAGCACUUAACGU